rnacentral:rRNA from 1 species
GGCGAGUGAAGCGGGAUCAGCUCAAAUUUGAAAUCUCCUUCGGGCGAAUUGUAGUUUAGAGAAGUGUUUUCUAGGAUAGCUCGGGCAUAGGUCCUUUGGAACGAGGCAUCAUAGAGGGUGAGAAUCCCGUCUGUGGUCCGAUGUCUAUUCUGAUGUGAUACACUUUCAAAGAGUCAGGUUGUUUGGGAUUGCAGCCUAAAAGGGUGGUAAAUACCAUCUAAAGCUAAAUAUUGGCGAGAGACCGAUAGCGAACAAGUACCGUGAGGGAAAGAUGAAAAGAACUUUGAAAAGAGAGUUAAACAGUACGUGAAAUUGCCAAAAGGGAAACGCUUGGAACCAGUGUUGCAACUAGUAAUCAGCCGUUCUUCGAACGGUGCACUUGCUAGGCGCAGGUCAACAUCAGUUUGUCUCGGAGUAAAAACCCUCCUCUCGGUUUUCGGACCGCGUGGUUGACAUGCUCUGGGACAGACUGAGGUCUGCUAACAGGAUGUUGACGAAAUGGUUUCAAACGACCCGUCUUGAAACACGGACCAAGGAGUCUAACAAAUAUGCGAGUAUUUGGGUGGUAAACCCUUAUGCGCAAUGAAAGUGAAAUUGGUGGGAUCUUCGGUGCACCAUCGACCGGUCUGGAUUUUUUUGAUAGAUCUGAGUAUGAGCAUAUCUGUUAGGACCCGAAAGAUGGUGAACUAUGCCUGAAUAGGGUGAAGUCAGAGGAAA